rnacentral:misc_RNA from 1 species
GAUGAAGAACGUAGCGAAAUGCGAUACUUGGUGUGAAUUGCAGAAUCCCGUGAACCAUCGAGUCUUUGAACGCAAGUUGCGCCCGAAGCCAUUAGGCCGAGGGCACGCCUGCCUGGGCGUCACACGUCGUUGCCCCCCCCAUCUACUCCUUCGGGAUUGCGGGGGGCGGAUGAUGGCCUCCCGUGCGCCUCGCCGCGCGGUUGGCAUAAAUACCAAGUCCUCGGCGACGCACGCCACGACAAUCGGUGGUUGCGAAACCUCGGUUGCCCGUCGUGUGCGGUCGUCGCGCAUCGAGGGCUCGAAAAAAUUGCCGGGCUCCGGCUCGGCUUUCAACGCGACCCCAGGUCAGGCGGGGUUACCCGCUGAAUUUAAGCAUAUCAAUAAGCGGAGGA